UAAUAUGUAUCUCUUCUGUUUUAGAAUAACGAUGAGCUAAUUCAGGAAGCCUGAAGUCUCAUCUGUUAAUCUACACCUCACAGCCUUUUCCAUCCUUCUCAUCUUCACGUCUCACUCUGACACGAGUUGUUGCUGCCUCGGAAAUCCUUACCCGCUAUUUAAAAAUGAAGCUCAAACACCUUGAAACACGAGUUUUGCAUGUGAAGCUUCGUUGUAAUGUCGAAGGCAAACUAAGAAGUCAGCCUCAAACGUGCAGCAGAGACGUCUUUCCUGUUUGUGGGUUUUUAACUGUCGGGGUGCACAGCGCGUCACACAAAUGCCCGUGGGAACAUCCGGCGAUGCAGAGAUGUCGGUCAGUAAAAGCUGUGGCUGCAGAACGGACCACUUCCCGUCUCUGAAGGGACGCGGCAGCCGCACGUCGCCUCGACACUUGACACUUCGGUAACAGACGUAUUUUGACAUACUCUUAAUUUGUUUGUUUGCUUGUCCUGUUGUAAAUAAUUCCUUCUGAUUCUCACAUCUAAGAGGCUUCAUGUGGGCUUUUUAUCAGAAUGAGAAGGUAAGCACGCCACAGAAUACCUGUGUUAAGGAUCCAUCAAAUGUAGGAACCACAUUAAUUUAAAACUGGUGGAAGAUGUUAUGCUUGUUUUUGGAGAUGUGAUGUUCAGGGAGAUGAUCGGGGUUGAACUAACAAAUGAGGAGGUUGUAAAGCGGAGCUUUGCUGAACAGGUCCUUACACGUUCAACACUGCACAGCGUUUCCUUAAAUGACCUCUGCAUGAAAGCCUCUCUGGAAAUAGUCACUCGGCGCCGAAGGCUGUUGAAUGUGGUUUCUCAACAUGUUUAGCGAGUGGUCAACUGUCUCUCACAUCAAUAAGCACAAAGUGUCCUUCAGUCAGAGGGAACUUCUCAAGGCAGCGAGGAAACGAUAGAAGAUAAAUACUUUCAUCCGUUUUCUGAAACGGUCUGUAACUUUCGUUCUUUACUUCAACAUUUGUUUCAGUACAUGAAAGAAUAAAAUGUGUCAUUUUAUGCGUUAUAACAGAAAAAUGAUCGCAAUCGUCGGGAUCUUUGCGGCUCUGGCAACAACAUCUCUGGCAAAAGGCUCCAUUGAAUGCAGUUUUUCUGAACCAGGAGCUCGGUGCUUCGGAGUGACGGGACAGCGGCUCAUUUUUCAUCUGGGAAACACAUCAAAUGUCACAUCAAAUAUUAGGCUGAUUAAGGACAACAACGUUAUUAUUUUUAAAAUAUCAAAAAAUAAGAUAGUGAGUCCAAAUAAAGAAUACGUGACUGAUCCUGAACUCUUGGCCAACGGAACGGUGUCACUCGGCAGAGCCGGAAGGAGCCACUCUGGAGAUUACCUGCUGGAGGAGUUCGCAUCUGAUGGCGUUUGUGUGAAGAAAGUCACCGUGCAUCUCCAAAUAAAAGAAAUAAAAGAUCCGUUGCCCGGGGUUACCACGGUUGUGGCGCCCGGUGUUUGUCUGCUCCUGAUCGCCGCUGUGUGUCUCUGUCUUGGUUUGAUGUGUUGACAGGAUGAUAUGCAAAACUGAUAAUGUUGUUCUAUGACUUUUUAAAGAACUAUUAAGGGUUUAGGAGGAGGGGGGGGGCAUAAAUCCAAAGUGCUUAUGUUUUAAUCUUUUAAGGACCAAAUCCUUUUUGAUAAGAUAAUCAGCCAUAUUAUGGAGUACAUAUAAAAUAUGCUCUGUAGAUUUAUGCUUAACCUGUAUUAUAAGAGGUACAACGUCACACCUACAAGGACGUAACCACGCAUUCCUUGUGGGGGUCGUGUCCCCCCCAAUAUACAGCAGAAAAUAUGUAAAAUAUACGUUCUCCUUUUAUGAACCCUGUCUAUGGAUUGGUCUCUUGUUUAUGUCUUAUUUAUUUUCAAUUCAUUUCAGUUUGUUGAGAAAAAAGAAAGUGUGUGAACCGCCCUCCCAAUUUGUACACUUGUGUGAUUUCGUUUGAAACCAACUUGCGUCGCUCUGCGUUGUCAUGGUUACAUCACUUUUUCGUCAUUCAGUUGAGAGCAAAUAAAGUAACGUGAGUUGACUGGAGGAAGGUUAAAAAGAGCAGAAAACUCCACCAGCAGGGGGCAUAAUUACACUAUUGCUUUAGAUGUGAAUUCAUAUGGUCAAUGUAAUCCUUGAAACUAUGUUCGCAAUGUGCAAAUUUUCAUUUAUAAAUAUAGAAUUGUAGGCAAUGAACUUAACAACAAAAAAAUUACGGGGUAGGGUAUUCAUUUGGACCCCCCCAUGUCUAAACCAGGGUUACGCCCCUGCCUUUAUAUGUGCAGGUGUUCUUUGUUUUUCUUAUUUUUAUAUGUACAUGUCAUAUAAAACUGUAAAACGCUGCAUGUGCAUGUUGGUGUAAUGUAACGCACAGAAGGGACAGCAGUCCUGCAGGAGAUGUGAGGCCCAAGUGCAGGUGGACACUUGUUGGGGUGAUUUAUGGCCUCAGAGGCCGUGAGGCAUCUUUCCUUCUCCGUGCUUUGUUUGGGGCUUUCCUUAAUCAAAGGGACAGUUCCACCGGAGAACACAGCUGUUGGUUUUUGGGGUGGUUCAUGCUGGACGUGGAGAAGCUGUACAUUAAGAUCUCCGGACUACGUUUUCCCGAAGUUCUCAACACUUUUGUCUCCGGUUUUGUUGGACAUUUUAUUAUUUUUGUGUCCCUGUUCCGAAGUAAAUAAAAUAAAUAAAACACA